AAUUGACCGUGUCAAGGUAGCAUAAUCAAUUGUCUUUUAAUUAAAGGCUUGUAUGAAUGGUUGGAUGAGAUAUAAACUAUUUAUAUUUUAUUAAAUAAUGAAUUUUAAUUUUUAGUAAAAAUGCUAAAAUAAAUAAAGAAGACGAGAAGACCCUAUAAAUCUUUAUUUUUAAGUUUUAUAAAAUUAUUUAAGAAAAAUUAGUGUAAUUUAAUUUAAAAAUUUUAUUGGGGCGAUAAUAAAAUUUAAUAAACUUUUAUUUUCUUUUAUAAAUAUAAUUAAUUUAAUUGAUCUUUUAUUAUUGAUUAAAAAAUUAAGUUACUUUAGGGAUAACAGCGUAAUUAUUUUAAGGAGUUCUUAUCGAUAAAAUAGUUUGCGACCUCGAUGUUGAAUUAAGAGUAAUAUGAGGUGUAGG
rnacentral:rRNA from 1 species